rnacentral:rRNA from 1 species
GCUGUGCGGCGAGCAUAUACAUGCAGUCGAGCGAACAGAUAAGGAGCUUGCUCCUUUGACGUUAGCGGCGGACGGGUGAGUAACACGUGGAUAACCUACCUAUAAGACUGGGAUAACUUCGGGAAACCGGAGCUAAUACCGGAUAAGAUUUUGAACCGCAUGGUUCAAUAGUGAAAGACGGCCUUGCUGUCACUUAUAGAUGGAUCCGCGCCGUAUUAGCUAGUUGGUAAGGUAACGGCUUACCAAGGCAACGAUACGUAGCCGACCUGAGAGGGUGAUCGGCCACACUGGAACUGAGACACGGUCCAGACUCCUACGGGAGGCAGCGAGUAGGAGAUAUUCUUACGGCAACUGGGUCUGAAAGCCUGACGAAUGCAACGCCGCGUGAGGUGAAUGGAAGGUUCUUCCGAUCGUUAAAACUCUGGUAAUCAAGGAAGAAACAAAACGUGUUAAGUAACCUGUGCACGUCUUGACGGUACCUGAUCAGAAAGCCACGGGCUAAACUAUCGUACCAGCAGCCCGCGGUUAAUUACGUAGUGUGGCGAAGCGUUAUCCAGGAAAUUAUUGGGCGUAAAAGCGCGCGUAGGCGGUUUUUUAAGUCUGAUGUGAAAGCCCACGGCUCAACCGUGGAGGGUCAUUGGAAACUGGAAAACUUGAGUGCAGAAGAGGAAAGUGGAAUUUCCAUGUGUAGCGGUGAAAUGCGCAGAGAUAUGGAGGAACACCAGUGGCGAAGGCGACUUUUCUGGUCUGUAACUGACGCUGAUGUGCGAAAGCGUGGGGAUCAAACAGGAUUAGAUACCCUGGUAGUCCACGCCGUAAAACGAUGAGUGCUAAGUGUUAGGGGGUUUCCGCCCCUUAGUGCUGCAGCUAACGCAUUAAGCACUCCGCCUGGGGAGUACGACCGCAAGGGUUGAAACUCAAAGGAAUUGACGGGGACCCGCACAAGCGGUGGAGCAUGUGGUUUAAUUUCGAAGCAACGCGAAGAACCCUUACCAAAUCUUUGACAUCCCUUGACCAGCUCUAGAGAUAGAGUUUUCCCCUUUCGGGGGACAAAGUGACAGGUGGUUGCCAUGGAUGUCGGUCAGCUCGUUGUCGUGGAGAUGUUGGGUUAAGUUCCCGGCAACGAGUCGCCAACCCUUAAGCUUAGUGGCCAAUCAUUAAGUCGGGCACUUCUUAAGAUUUUGACACUGGGCCGGUGACAAACCGGAGGAAGGUGGGGAUGACGUCAAAUCAUCAUGCCCCUUAUGAUUUGGGCUACACACGUGCUACAAUGGACAAUACAAAGGGCAGCUAAACCGCGAGGUCAAGCAAAUCCCAUAAAGUUGUUCUCAGUUCGGAUUGUAGUCUGCAACUCGACUACAUGAAGCUGGAAUCGCUAGUAAUCGUAGAUCAGCAUGCUACGGUGAAUACGUUCCCGGGUCUUGUACACACCGCCCGUCACACCGACGAGAGUUUGUAACACCCGAAGCCGGUGGAGUAACCAUUUAUGGAGCUAGCCGUCGAAUGUUGAGCCAAAAG